AUACGUAGGGUGCAAGCGUUAAUCGGAAUUACUGGGCGUAAAGCGUGCGCAGGCGGUUUUGUAAGACAGUGGUGAAAUCCCCGGGCUCAACCUGGGAACUGCCUUUGUGACUGCAAGGCUAGAGUACGGCCGAGGGGGAUGGAAUUCCGCGUGUAGCAGUGAAAUGCGUAGAUAUGCGGAGGGACACCGAUGGCGAAGGCAAUCCCCGGGGCCUGUACUGACGCUCAUGCCCGAAAGCGUGGGGAGCAAACAGGAUUAGAUACCCUGGUAGUCCACGCCCUAAACGAUGUCAACUGGUUGUUGGGUCAUCAUUGACUCAGUAACGAAGCUAACGCAUGAAGGUGACCGCCUGGGGAGUAAGGCCGCAAGGUUGAAACUCAAAUGAAGUGGCGGGG
rnacentral:rRNA from 1 species